GGCUUAAGAGGAGGGGUGAGAAAAAGUCGUAUAAAAGGCGAGAGAAAAGUCGAUACAGGGAACAGUCGUGUGAGCAUCUCCGACACGGCAACAACUGCAGUGUACUUUUGCCAUCAGCUUUCAGCUAUCUGCCAUCGUCAGUUCUUAAUCAUGGUUGUAUUUAAGGAGAAAGAAAAGGCGAAAGAAAUCAGUCGAGUGAGCAUCUCCGAUAUGCAAGAGUUGCAGUGCGCCAUUCAUCACCAACUGCAUUCUUCGUCGCUUUACCAGUUUCAAUCAUGGUCGUUUAAAGGGAGAGAAAAGGCGGUAGAAUUCAUUCGUAUCUCCGACAUGGGAGCAGCAAAUGCAGUGCACUAUUUUACAUCAACUGCAUUCUUCGUCGAAGUGCUAGUUUUAAAUCAUGGUAAACUUUGGCGUCGCGUGCUGCUGUUGGGUGUUGUAUAGUUGACGGCUGGUUCAGCCAUGGUGUACCAAUGUCUCCUGGGUAUGGCCGUAACAAAUCGCAACGCCGCCACCUUACUACACAACAUACGACACAACCAGUUGCUACACCAAGGCCCCCAAGUACUACACCACCAAGGCUCCACAUUAUUGUACCACAACUUAUGCUGCCUGAGCUACUACACCGAAGCCCCGAAGCAUUGUUCUUCCCCGAGCUACACUACCAGAGGUUCGAGUACUACACCGAUGCUCUGAAGUACUACACCACCACGGCACCAAAGUACUGCACCACCAAGGCACCGGAGUACUGCACUACUACAUAUCAUGGUCGUAUGAAAGGAGAGAAAAGGUGAAAGAAUUCAGCAGCCGAGUGAGCAUUUCCGUUACAGCAACAGGAACUGCCGUGCACUAGUUGUCAUCAACUUCAUUCUUCGUGGCGUUACAAGUGUUUAAUAAAGUUAACUAUGGUGGCGUGCUGCUGUUGGGUGUUGUAUCGUUGAUGGCUGGGUCGACCACUGGUGUGCCGAUUUCUCCUGGGUAUGGUGGGCAUGAAUAACAACAUACGCAACAACCGGUCACUACACUGAGGCCCCUAAGUGCUACACCACCAAGGCUCCAGAUUAUUACACCACAGUUUAUGUUGGUCCGAGCUAUUCGCAGAAGCUCCGAAGUAUUUUUCUUCGCCAAGCUUCGCUACCUUCACCACGCCGCCUCCUUCCUAAACAAUAACGUCAACACUUUCUUACUAUACGAAGGCCUCCAAGUACUACGCCACGAAGGCUUCUGACUACUAUACCGAGGAUCUAACUUGUUACAUCAUCGAAGUUCUCAAGUACUUCACUACCCCCUACGUUGCCCCAGCUUACACCACGCAGGCACCGGAGUACUACACCAGGCAGGCACCGGAGUACUACACCAGGCAGGCACCGGAGUACUACACCAGGCAGGCACCGGAGUACUACACCAGGCAGGCACCGGAGUACUACACCAGGCAGGCACCGGAGUACUACACCAGGCAGGCACCGGAGUACUACACCAGGCAGGCACCGGAGUACUACACGUUAAACCGAGGCUCCAGUUUACUACACUACAACCUACGCUGCUCAAAACAACUACAUUGAUGCUCCAAAGUACUACACCACCAAGGCAUCCGAGCAUACACUACCACUACACCUACCACUACCACUACUUACGCUACCGCCACCUGCUACACCGAAGUUCCGAAAGCAGUACUCUGGCCCGAGUUACUACACCACUUAGGCAGCCGAAUAUUACACCAUAAACUACGAUUCCGCAAUUUUCUACAAGGAAUUUCCUAAAUAGAGCCGAAAUUUCUACUUCAGAUUAUUUAUAUUUGUCGGUUAUUUCCAUGGCCAAUGCCCAAUGGUCACUGGGAAUUAAUCGUUGACCUUUAAUGAGAAAAUAAAAGUUUUAAUGCGGGUAA
rnacentral:lncRNA from 1 species